rnacentral:pre_miRNA from 1 species
AGAUUCAACCUGCAAUUUUUCCUUCAAUUCUAAAAAGAUAAAAUUGUAGGUUGUAAUCACU